UGACGCGCUGCGGGAGAGAGGGGCGCCGCCCCCGCCGAAGACGCAAACUCCCAUAAUCGCUCAGGCAAGCAGUACCGCAGUGCACCA
rnacentral:ncRNA from 1 species